AAAAGCACUGCUUAUCUGCUUGUGAUGGGAUGGCAGUGUAUUGUUAGCUGGUUGACUAUCUGAACGUGCCAGCUAACAUGCAACUGCUAUCCCAUUGCAUUUCCCACGACACAGACAAAUA
rnacentral:pre_miRNA from 15 species